AAGGUUAAUGCAUUCUUAUAUCAGAGGCAGUUAGGUGGCAAAGAAGACAGAGUGCUUCAUUUGGAGUCAAGAACUGAAUUCUUCCUUAAAUACUGAGUAGGCAUGUGACCCUGGGUCUGAAGAUCAUUCUCUUUGGCAGAAAAAAAGAUCAGAAAUAAAAUAAGAGUUGAGUAGUUCUGCUUUCUUCCCAUCAUCAAUCAUUAUUGUCUCAUUCAAUUAAAGAGCCUUUGGAGCCAUCCCAGAUCACCCACAUGGAGAUACUCUGAAGAAGGCUUGCCCAAGUAUGCCCAAAUCUCCUAAAAUGGAGACACUCUUCAUCUGGACCACAUAGGCAUCUUCCUAUUGUGUCCAGAGGGUGAACAUCACAGCUAACCACAGCAAGGAUGCCUUGAACAUAACUAUCUCCAAUUCAGUUCAUGGAUGCAGAAGGAAGAAGCCAGGACAAAUGAGAGCAUGAGAUCCAGAUAGAACAGCAUAUAUACAUAUAUACUAAUAUGAUAAAUAAAAAAAAAUAUAUAUAUAAGAAUGCAUGUACAUAGCUCAUCUAGCUAUGGAUUGUAGGUUCCUUGAGCUAAGGAAUCAAUUACUAAGUAUUGAUGAAGUCCUACUAUGUGUUAGGCAUUGUACUAAGUCCUGGGGAUACAAAGACAAAAAUGAAACUGUCCCUGCUCUCAGAGUUUAAAUUACUAUCAGUUGUUUCUGCCUGGCUAGAGUCUUCAGAGGCUCAGUUAGAGUUUUUUGGUAAUGACAAUCAUCGACUUGUAGAGCCAAUAAUGGGAAUGAUUGGUUUGCUUGUGGGUAGUAUAGAGGCAAAUCUCACUCAAGAAGGAAGCAAGACCGCAAACUUACUUCAUAUAAAGAACAGUAGAUUACUAAAUACCUAAUAUUACUAAAAAUCCAAUAUUCAUAAAGCACUUAUUAUGUGCUUGGUACCAUGCUGAGCAUUUUACAAUUAUUGACUCAUUAAAUCCUUACAAUAAUCCUAUGAAUUUUGGUUCAGUCAUUUUUCAACAAUAUCCAAGUCUUUGUGACCUCAUUUAGGGUUUCCUUGGAAAAGUUUGCCAUUUCCUUUUCUGGCUUAUUUUAUAAAUGAGGAAAUUAAGGCAAACAGGAUGAAGUGACUUGCCCAUACAACUAGAAAGUGUCUGAGGUCAGAUUUGAACUCAGAAAGAUGAGUCCUCCUGACUCCAGGCCCUUCACUUUAUAGCUGCCCUGUGACUUAGGUGCUUUUAUUAUCUCUAUUUUACAGAUGAGGAAAAUGAGGCAAACAGAGAUUAAGUGAAUUGCCCAGGGUCACAAAGCCAAGAAGUGUCCAAGGCCAGAUUUAAGCUUAGGUCUUUAUGACUACAAGUUUAGUGCUCUAUUCAUUUACCAGGAGUCAGCUUCAGAGCUAACUUUUUCUCAGCUUAACUCAGCAGGAAUCAGUGUGUGAAGAAUUCAAAUCACAAACCCCUCUUUUAUGUUUAGUAGCUCGAUGCUCACCAAACUGUCAGUAUUAGGAUGUUUGUCAUGGCUCAUAAUUUAAACAUUAAUAUAUAACAUUUUUAUAUCAUAGUGAAAAAUCCUCAUAAAUUGAAAUGUUAGUAGUUGUUGAUUAUAAGUUCAGAAU